UUACCUACGGGGCGCAGCAGUGGGGAAUAUUGCACAAUGGGGGAAACCCUGAUGCAGCAACGCCGCGUGAGUGAAGAAGUAUUUCGAUAUGUAAAGCUCUAUCAGCAGGGAAGAAGAUGACGGUACCUGAUUAAGAAGCCCCGGCUAACUACGUGCCAGCAGCCGCGGGAAUACGUAGGGGGCAAGCGUUAUCCGGAUUUACUGGGUGUAAAGGGAGCGUAGACGGCAUAGCACGUCUGAAGUGAAAGACCAAGGCUCAACAAUGGGACAGCUUUGGAAACUGUUAAGCU
rnacentral:rRNA from 1 species